AUGACUUCUUUUUCACAGGGUCUUGUUUUCACUACUGCCAUGGUUGUCUCAAGCACCAUGCUUUAUCUUGUUUUCUCGAAACAAAAGAAUAACCCAUCAUUUCAAAUUCAAGGAAACCACGUUCUGCGUUCUUGUUUGUAUUCAGAGGAAAAGAAAAAGGAGAGAAAGAUGAAUACGAAAAGGAGUAAGAAGAAAGUUAGAUUUGAAGAAAGUGUUAAAGAAGAAAGAGAAAGGAAGAGUCAAGUUGUAAGGAAAGAGAAACAGAGGAAGCGAAACAGAGUAUAUAGUAGCAACUGCAGAAGUGAAACGUCGAAAAGUCGUGGAAUUCCGGCGAAUAGAAUCGCUUUGUUCAACGGGAUUUUGAGAGACCGUGUACAUAGGAUGAAGUGUUGUUAA